GAAAUGCGAUAAGUAAUGUGAAUUGCAGGAUUCAGUGAAUCAUCGAAUCUUUGAACGCACCUUGCGCUCCUUGGUAUUCCUUGGAGCAUGCCUGUUUGAGUAUCAUGAAAUCUUCAAAGUAAAUCUUUUGUUAACUCAAUUGGUUUCUACUUUGGUAUUGGAGGUCUUUGCAGCUUCACACCUGCUCCUCUUUGUUCAUUAGCUGGAUCUCAGUGUUAUGCUUGGUUCCACUCGGCGUGAUAAGUUAUCUAUCGCUGAGGACACUGUAAAAGGUGGCCAAGGUAAAUGCAGAUGAACCGCUUCUAAUAGUCCAUUGACUUGGACAAUACUUUUAUGAUCUGAUCUCAAAUCAGGUAGGACUACCCGCUGAACUUAAGC
rnacentral:misc_RNA from 1 species